rnacentral:rRNA from 1 species
GACGGAGGAUGCAAGCGUUAUCCGGAAUUACUGGGCGUAAAGCGCACGUAGGCGGCUUUGUAAGUUAGAGGUGAAAGCCCGGGGCUCAACCCCGGAAUUGCCUUUAAGACUGCAUCGCUAGAAUUGUGGAGAGGUAAGUGGAAUUCCGAGUGUAGAGGUGAAAUUCGUAGAUAUUCGGAAGAACACCAGUGGCGAAGGCGACUUACUGGACACAUAUUGACGCUGAGGUGCGAAAGCGUGGGGAGCAAACAGG